rnacentral:rRNA from 1 species
AGAGUUUGAUCCUGGCUCAGAGCGAACGCUGGCGGCAGGCCUAAUACAUGCAAGUCGAACGGCUCUUCGGAGCAGUGGCGGACGGGUGAGUAACGCGUGGGAACGUGCCCUUUGGUUCGGAACAACACAGGGAAACUUGUGCUAAUACCGAAUGUGCCCUUCGGGGGAAAGAUUUAUCGCCAUUGGAGCGGCCCGCGUUGGAUUAGCUAGUUGGUGGGGUAAAGGCCCACCAAGGCGACGAUCCAUAGCUGGUCUGAGAGGAUGAUCAGCCACACUGGGACUGAGACACGGCCCAGACUCCUACGGGAGGCAGCAGUAGGGAAUCUUGCGCAAUGGGCGAAAGCCUGACGCAGCCAUGCCGCGUGAAUGAUGAAGGUCUUAGGAUUGUAAAAUUCUUUCACCGGGGAAGAUAAUGACGGUACCCGGAGAAGAAGCCCCGGCUAACUUCGUGCCAGCAGCCGCGGUAAUACGAAGGGGGCUAGCGUUGCUCGGAAUUACUGGGCGUAAAGGGCGCGUAGGCGGACAACUUAGUCAGAGGUGAAAGCCCAGGGCUCAACCUUGGAAUUGCCUUUGAUACUGGUUGUCUUGAGUUCGGGAGAGGUGAGUGGAAUGCCGAGUGUAGAGGUGAAAUUCGUAGAUAUUCGGCGGAACACCAGUGGCGAAGGCGACUCACUGGCCCGAUACUGACGCUGAGGCGCGAAAGCGUGGGGAGCAAACAGGAUUAGAUACCCUAGUAGUCC